rnacentral:rRNA from 1 species
CCUACGUGAGGCAGCAGUAGGGAAUAUUGCUCAAUGGGGGAAACCCUGAAGCAGCAACGCCGCGUGGAGGAUGAAGGUUUUCGGAUUGUAAACUCCUUUUGUUAGAGAAGAUAAUGACGGUAUCUAACGAAUAAGCACCGGCUAACUCCGUGCCAGCAGCCGCGGUCAUACGGAGGGUGCAAGCGUUACUCGGAAUCACUGGGCGUAAAGAGCGCGUAGGCGGGAUAGCAAGUCAGAUGUGAAAUACUAUGGCGUAACCAUAGAACUGCAUUUGAAACUGUUAUUCUAGAGUAUGGGAGAGGUAGGUGGAAUUCUUGGUGUAGGGGUAAAAUCCGUAGAGAUCAAGAGGAAUACUCAUUGCGAAGGCGACCUGCUAGAACAUAACUGACGCUGAUGCGCGAAAGCGUGGGGAGCAAACAGGAUUAGAUACCCUGGUAGUC